rnacentral:rRNA from 1 species
GUCCACGCUGUAAACGAUGAUCACUAGAUGUUGGUCGGGUUCGCCUGAUCAGUGUCGAAGCUAACGCGUUAAGUGAUCCGCCUGGGAAGUACGGUCGCAAGAUUAAAACUCAAAGAAAUUGACGGGGGCCCGCACAAGCGGUGGAACAUGUGGUUUAAUUCGACACUACGCGAGGAACCUUACCUAGGCUUGACAUGUAACUGCUACUGGUGGAAACAUUGGGUUCUGUAGUAAUACAGACGGUUACACAGGUGCUGCAUGGCUGUCGU